UAAAGGGUGAGUGUGGUUCUCAAAGGUGGGAAAAACUAACAAUUCUUGAAGAGGACUCAAGGUUUAUUGGACCACCAAAUACUGGAGUUGAUGCUGAAGUCUAUAACAAUGGUAACAAUACUCAGGGUGUAUCCAUUGUGGGCCCAGCCAAUGGAUACUCUGGGGAGUAUUGAGGGGAGGGGUGUUGAGUCCUUCUACACAGGCUCAGAAAGAAAGGUUCUUAUCAUCCACUUAGAAACAAUGGAAGCAAAGUAACUCUCUGGGACAGAAACUUUGUCGGUCAGGGAGAGGCUUGAAGGAGACUCUAAAUGGUUCCCAGAAUGAAUUCCCACGUAAACCUAAAGAAUGCUGAUGGAGAGAAGCCACUGCUCAUUCUUCUUUUUAAGCCAAAUAAUAUCCUUCUGCCGGAACAAAGUUGUUCUUGGCACUUGGAAGUAAAUGUGAGGAGGGAAUCAAAACACAACGCCUGAGAGACAAAUCCAUAAGAAAUCUGAAGGCCAGGACGUGGUGAAAAGUAAUAAAGAUAGAAGGGUCAGUGGCAGGAACAAAGAUUAACUGUACCAGAGGAGAUGGCGCUUUGGCUCUGAAAAUAGGAUUGAGCGAAAGCCGGAAGUGCUGCAGAGACGCACGUGUCCUUCGUUUCCACCCUGAAGGCUCAAAGGAAGGCCGCUGCCCAGCCACGCGGAGGCUGCAGGACAGGGUUCUGGAAGCUGGGGCCUCCUUGCCCUAAUCCUGGAAGGAUAUUCCACAUCUAAAUCACCGAAGCUUCAUCCUGUGAUGCAGAAGCUCUCCCCUUGUGAACAACCAACACAGGAAGUAGUGAAACCUGGUAGAGAGAAUAUUAUCUUUCUCCACCUUCAAUUAUACCAGAACUGCCUCCAGGGACUUUGGCAGGUUUGACAAAUGGCAGAAGAAUUUAGAAGAUUUUCUUUGCUGGCAAAGGGAGCCAAUGGUUGGGCACAAAUGUGCUGCUGCGGUUGUUUGUACAAUGAAACUCUAGAUUGUAGGCAGAAAUGUCAGGUUCCUUUCAACUCUCUUCAGAGCUAAUCUAGUUCCCAUGUGCAAACUCAAUCUAUAGCAUUUGGGUAAAGAAUACUCAGUCCUCUGCUGUGACAAGAACAAAUUCAUCACCCACACCAUACAUUGUAGCUAAGGGCAUCAUCGUGCCCACAUGAAUCACCAGGCAGAGACGGCUGCCAACUCUGAAAUUCUUUACUCAUGGAAGACUCACGUAUACUAAUGCCGACUAUUUACGCAAGCACAUUUCUCCAGGUGGCCUGGAGCAGUUUACAAGAUGCUGGCUCAUUCCUCAUCAUGCCACUUGGAAGGAGAGCAAAAGGUGGGGAAAGAGGAAGGGCCAACAUCAUCAUCUGCAUUUUAUGUGGGGAAACUGAGGCUCACAUAAGCCGUAAAGUGAAAUGUAUAGACAUUUAUGAGUCAGAAAUCGACCAUGGAAGAGGCAAAAUGAGCUUAUCUGAAUCAUGAGUGGACUAUUUCUUGCCCAACAAUUUCAUGCAGCUCUUCCAACACAACUGUUUUGAUACAGCAGCCUCAAAACAAGCCAAAAUUCAGACUCGCUGUAUUUGGUUUAUAACCAGUUUCCCAUCUUUCAUUCCUUCUCUGACUUCUACCUGACUUCUGAAUUUGGUUGACCCUGUUUUUUUGUUUGUUUGUUUGUUUUGUUUUACUUUAAAAGACCCUCAACCCUCCUGGAGUCCUGACCUGCUAUUUCUUUCAUUUUGAACCUCUACCAGUCCUUUCCUUCAUCUGUUACCAAUCCAUACACCCUUGAUGCCUGGAGGUAAGAUUGACAAUGGAGGGGGGGAGGUGAAGAUCAAGGUUGAGGUGAAGCUCACAGAUGGCCUGCAAGAUGCCUAUUUUACUCAUCAUUUAUUUUUUAAAAAGCUGAACAUUUAUCGGCUGAAUCUUUGAGCCAUACCAAAAUAUCCUCAUGUCAAAAUAGCUGCAGUAAAGUGGUUCUAUUAAAAUAGCUGCCUCCAAAGAACUGAGAGUGGAGAUGUCACCUGCUUCUGGCACCUGACUUUGGUCCUCUUCUGCGUGGCAUUGCCUUCUGCUCUGCUGGAUUCUGGCGUAUGGCUCAUCAGAGGAGGCACUAACAUCAGGGCUGCCUUUUAUCUUGCUGAUCCAAGCGAGGACUAUGUAGGUGUCACAGAUGAAACUCGUCCAGAAGCCGAACAGGAUGCUAAUGGCAUGGCCACGUGUUUCCAGCACCCUGUGAGGCAGCUGGCUGGCAUCAAUCCUCUCCCCAGCUUCCAUCCCACCCCCAUCCACCCAUAAGCUCUUCUUGGGUCAGAAAUGCAAUUCUUUGAUGGUGCCAGACAGCCAGAUGAUGCUGGAAAGAAGAAAGAAAAAGAAAAAGCAGGUUUCUAAAUUAAGCACAAGGCUCGUUUAUAAAAAUAAAUAGCCACAGCCUAGCAACGUGCUCACAGCUCAGCUUUCCUCCGUAAUAAAACCUCUGUGGCUGAAGCCUGGGAUGACACAGCCUUCAGAGGGCCCCACGCCCUGGCCCUCCUCAUGCCCUGGCCUCUCCCAGGAUAAUACUCACCUGGAGAGUGCUGACAGUGGUACUUUUGGGGCCCCACUCUUCAUUCAAGGCCAACCAAAGGCCAGGCUCCAAAAAGCAGAAGGAAGGCAGAGCUUAAUGAGGCCCAUGAACACUUACAGACUCUUGGCAGUAACUAAUACACCUGUAGCAAAAGUGGUUGAAGUUCCUUGGGCUACUCUGUUGAAAUAGGAACUUCUAGUUAAGACCAUGUCUUCUUUGUUCACCAUUGAACAGUACUCAGCUAAGCACAGGGCACGUAUUGAGUACUCAACCAGUAUGUGAGGAAAGACUGGUUAGAGGUAUAAAUGAAUGAAUGAAUGUUGCCAUCCCAUUAUUGAUGCUCUCCAAACUCUUCACUACAAAUGGAGUCAGUUCCAGAAUCCAAAGCCAGCAUUCUUCUCCUGAUUAUGACAUGCACCAAAGAGGCAUCCCCUGAGCUGGAUGUUUAAAUCAGAGCCCACAGCUGAAGUGAGCACCAAGAUGUACUGAGCAAGUGUGGACUCUUACUGAUCCAAGUGGCAGCAGCAGCUUCAAGGGUGAACUGUUGCUCAGCAGAGAAAUGGCAGGAAAAAAUAGGACAUUCGCUUCUGGCCUUAGUCCUGUUGGAACACAAAAAGUGGAGUCUGCAAUGCUGUUGGAGGCUCAACAGGUCAAAUACAUCAGUAAUGGGCAUGGUAUGGCUGGGGUCAUACGGAGACAGUCCUUAGAGCACUGAAAAUGUGAUCAUCCUGAAUCCCAUAAGGAUCCUUAUGAGGUUAGAAGGGACAAUGUGGCUCCACUUUGAUGACUGACAGCAGUUGCUUUGGUGAGUUUCUACGUAUUCCCUUGUGAUCAGAGAGUGGUACAGGACAGCAUGUCAAAAUCGUAAACCACCAUCUCAGAGCAAGGCCCCUUAGUUACAAUAUUAAAAAGAUCAGAGAAAUUGGC
rnacentral:lncRNA from 1 species